AAAAUAUUAAAAUUAAACUCCAUAUUGCUGGCAGAUCAAGACCAGAGGGCUUUUGUUAAUCUGAUUUGGUUAACCGCGAUGUAAACAGCUAACAAGCGAAAGAGGCGCGAAGCAUUGCGGGAUAGCGUUUUUUCACGGCCUGUUCAGCCGAAGCCGCCAUUACAGGCAUCGAAGCCAGAAAAUUCAGCGCGAUCAUCGGUAUCUCACUGUGGCCAAUUUUAAUUUGAGGCCGAAUGUGCGCAGGUUCAUCGGGACCGGUAAUCAAGGUAGCCAAGGGAAUCAAAGCAGGCCGAGGAGAUGGAGACGAAGGCGCUGGCCCCGAAUGGCGGACGUGAACGAAACUGUCCCACUAGACUACACCCAAACCGCAAGCGUGCCGGAAUCGUGAACUAUUCGCCUGUGCUUCAGAAGUGGCUGAUGUCGGAGGAUUUAUUGCAAAGAAAAAUACUGUGAUAAGUGAUGGAAAGUAUUUUUUCUGUGUUGUGAUAUGUGUUCAUGAAAAUCGGCAUAUUUUGAAAAUAAAAAAGUUAAAACUCAACUCCAUGUUUCCAUUGCUCAGAAAUCACCAAAAGCAGCAAAAAAAUGAAUGAAAACCCCCUCCCCCAAAACCCCCAUAAUCACCUCUAAAAUCAUGUGAUGGUCACAUUCUGAGAAGGUAGGUGCUGCGUGA